rnacentral:tRNA from 1 species
CAGGGAGACAAAAACUGAUUAUUGAUGUCUGAUAUUUAAUUUCAGGCCGUAAUCCUGUCACCUUAGGUCGAUCGGUACCUCAGCUUUGAAGCCAGGAAUUAGCGGCAAUGUUGAUUGAUUGAUGGAAAUUUUCAGUUCCUAAACUUUGUCUAGGUCACACCCCAAAAGGGAUGAGACUCCUGGGCCAUUAGCUCAGGUGGUUAGAGCGCACCCCUGAUAAGGGUGAGGUCCCUGGUUCAAGUCCAGGAUGGCCCAUUCGGUGUUGGGGGUUUAGCUCAGUUGGUAGAGCGCCUGCUUUGCAAGCAGGAUGUCAGGAGUUCGAGUCUCCUAACCUCCACUGACCGAACUUGAUUCCCAUCUCCAAUUUUUUGGAGUUGAGCUCGAUUGGCGUGUGAUUUAGAUGUGUCCGCUGGAUGACCCCAGCUUCCUGUCAUUCCAAGUUCUAGAUUUUAAGUCUUGAAUUUGGUUGAUAAGAUGCUGGGCUCGGAUCAAAUGAUCAAGCAAUUGAUGAUUUGAUUUGAAGUUCUAGCAGAACCUUGACAACUGCAUAGGUGAGUCUGGAAAAAACAAAGCAUCUUACAGAUGCAUUGUUUUGAAUCUGAUCUUCUGAAAGGGAGAUUGGAUCUAGAACAAUGAAAAUUCUUUUGAGCAAGAGCCGAGACUCUUGAGCGUUCUUUGAUUGGUGUCGAGCCAAUCAGAGUUUGAUCUUGUUUUAAGCAAUAAAAACUUGAGAAUCUGCUUUCAACGGCGGUAAGCGCUCAGGAGGUUAAUU